AAAGAGAGCCGUAACACAGGUGCUGCAUGGCUGUCGUCAGCUCGUGCCGUGAGGUGUAUGGUUAAGUCCCACAACGAGCGCAACCCUCGUCGCUAGUUAAUUUCCCUAGCGAGACCGCCUCGCAAAACGGAGGAGGAAGGCGGGGAUGGCGUCAAGUCAGCAUGGCCUUUAUACCCUGGGCGACACACACGCUACAAUGGGUGGUACAGUAGGUAGCGAAGGAGCGAUCCGGAGCAAAUCCUUAAAACCAUCCUCAGUACGGAUUGCAGGCUGAACCCGCCUGCAUGAAGCCGGAGUUGCUAGUAACCGCAUAUCAGCAUGGUGCGGUGAAUACGUUCUCGGGCCUU
rnacentral:rRNA from 1 species